rnacentral:snoRNA from 1 species
ACGACCUUACUUGAACAGGAUCUGUUCUAUAGGCUCGUACCUCUGUUUCCUUGAUUUCUCAAGAGACAGGCCCUUAACCCUGGUUGAUGAACCAUGACCGUGCGACUAGAGCGUGAUUGACGGCUACGAUCGUCUUUAGACGCAUCCGGUACUGUAGAGGAUCGUUACUCGGCUCGGUUCUACCUUGCCGGGGUGGUUGCACGGCGGUCUGACAGGUU